UCCUGGCUCAGGAUGAAACGCUGGCGGCAUGCCUAAUACAUGCAAGUCGAACGAGGCAUCUUCGGAUGCCUAGUGGCGAACGGGUGAGUAACACGUAGGGAACCUGCCCAUGCGGCCGGGACAACUUCCGGAAACGGAUGCUGAUACCGGAUAAGGAAAGCGAAGGCAUCUUUGCUUUGUUAAAGGAGCUACAAGGCUCCGCGCAUGGAUGGACCUGCGGUGCAUUAGCUGGUUGGUGAGGUAAAGGCUCACCAAGGCGACGAUGCAUAGCCGGCCUGAGAGGGCGAACGGCCACACUGGGACUGAGACACGGCCCAGACUCCUACGGGAGGCAGCAGUAGGGAAUUUUCGUCAAUGGGCGCAAGCCUGAACGAGCAAUGCCGCGUGAACGAGGAAGGUCUUCGGAUCGUAAAGUUCUGUUGAGAGGGAAAAAGGGUCACCAGAGGAAAUGCUGGUGAAGUGAUAUUACCUUUCGAGGAAGUCACGGGCUAAC
rnacentral:rRNA from 1 species